rnacentral:rRNA from 1 species
AGGACGAACGCUGGCGGCACGCUUAACACAUGCAAGUCGAACGGAGAAUAUUGAGUUACUUAGAUAUUCUUAGUGGCGGACGGGUGAGUAACACGUGAGCAACCUACCUUAGAGAGAGGGAUAGCUUCUGGAAACGGAUGGUAAUACCUCAUAACGUAACUGUACCGCAUGAUAUAGUUACCAAAGAUUUAUCACUCUGAGAUGGGCUCGCGUCUGAUUAGAUAGUUGGUGAGGUAACGGCUCACCAAGUCGACGAUCAGUAGCCGGACUGAGAGGUUGAACGGCCACAUUGGGACUGAGACACGGCCCAGACUCCUACGGGAGGCAGCAGUGGGGAAUAUUGCACAAUGGGCGGAAGCCCUGAUGCAGCGAUGCCGCGUGGAGGAAGAAGGUUUUCGGAUUGUAAACUCCUUUUAUCAGGGACGAAAAAUGACGGUACCUGAAGAAAAAGCUCCGGCUAACUACGUGCCAGCCGCCGC